GCCGAGGUGGCGGAACUGGUAGACGCGCUGCGUUCAGGGCGCAGUGUCGGCAACGGCAUCAGGGUUCAAAUCCCUGCCUCGGCA
rnacentral:tRNA from 1 species